CGAGCCCGUUGCCAUGAUCGCUCAGGCUUGGGUUGACAAGGGCAGUCGCCGCCUCGGGACGGGGCCCGGGAAGGGACAAUCGCCGCUCGAGCUCCCGCGACCUCAUAGGCGGCGGCGCCCACGUGAUCGGGCCUGUCACAGAAACCGCGGCGGCCAUCUUGGAAGAGGGCGGAAAGCCGCCUGAGCCCGGCCGGAGGGAGGGCGCUGGCUUUCUGACGGAGCACAACUUGGAGAAGCAGAAGGGAAUGCAGUUGGGAAGGUGUAACAGCAUCCCAGAAUCCCAGACUAAAGACGGUAUCAUAACUACUCACAGGGCCUGGAAGAAUACAGAGACAAAUGAGGACAGCUGUGGUGCGAGAGGCACGAGAUCUUGGUUGAAAUUUGCCUCUCCAUUUGGACCAACGAUAUCAACCUUGGGGUCUUCAUAUCCUUAGACCCAGAAGUCCAUCCCACUUCCAGAGGUUUCCACUGUGAAUCAGAAAGGCAGACUAAGCUUUCCAUGGUGAUAUGUCACCAGGAAAAACCCUCUCUGCCCCCGGCACUGUGCUGCGUAUUUUAUAUAUGCCUUGCUAUCUACAUACAGCAGCCCUGGGAUAGGUCCCAUCAGAAAUCCCAUUUUACAGAUCAAGAAAGAAAUUGUUACUCAGAGAAGACACUUGCCCACGUCACGCAGCUAGUAAGGGGUUCUAGCUCAGCAUGGUCUGACACUGGCACCCGGCUCCCAACACCCACGCUAACUCCCACACCAGGACUUUGUGCACAAAAAUACUCAACAUAUGGAAAGGAAGGAAAAAAAAAAUAGAGAAACCAAAAACCAAACCCUUAACUAUAGAGAACAAGCAGAUGGUUACCAGAGGGGUAGUGGGUGGGGGGUGGAGGAAAGAGGUGAAAGGGAUUAAAAAGUACAAUGAUGAUGCGCACUGAGUCAUGUAGAGAAUUAUUGAAUCACUAUAUUAUACACCUGGAACUAAUAUAAUGCUGUAUGUUCAUGAUACUGGAAUUAAAAUUUUUUUUAAAUUAAUAAAAGCUAAAAAAAAUACUCAACAAAUGUUUACACAUAACUGAACCCAUAUGUAUGUCUAUGUAUUUGUAUAUAAAUAUAUAUACACGCUAAUCCUCAGCCAUGUGAAAAUUGUAUGCAGAGAAAAACACUGGAAGCAAAUAUGCCAAUAUAGUAAUAGUGGUUAUCCUGGGUGGCGGAAUUAGGAGGACUUCGUUUCUUCUUUAUUUUUUUCUAUAUUUUCCAAAUUUUCUGCAAUUAACAUGCAUUGUUCUGAUAACUGGAAAACAUAUAAUUUUUAAAUGAAAUAAACAUUCUUUGAUUGUUCUAUCA